ensembl:antisense Lyzl4os lysozyme-like 4, opposite strand
GGAGAAGGAAUCCAUCAUCACCACUGAGACCACAUUAGCUUUCCGCCACUGCGACAGAUGUGUGAGAAGUCUGACGUGGGCCUCAGGGUGCCGGCAGGGCCAGGCUCCUUCUGGAGACAGUAAAGAUGGCCCACUUCUUGUUCAUACAGCAGUGUUGGCUGAAGGUUACCCUAACUGCUGAGGGCUGCCCACCCUCCUCACUCUGUUCCCCUUCCUGGUCAUCAAAGACAUCAAGGGCCCUGAGCAUAUUAGACAAGCCCACAAGACCCAUCUUUGUGGGUUUAUGGGAUACUAGCCAGGCUGCUGGACAGACCUGCCAUCCCACACACCUGGCACAAGAGGACAGAGAGUCCAAGAGGCAGUAUGCAGAUGUCCAGCUGCUUACAUGAGGAGCUCUGGGAAGAGCUGAGAGUAGCCCAGGUCCACCUCUGGACCUGGAGGGCCCAGGCCUGGCCAGACUCUUCCCAGUGCCUCUGGCUGUGCUUUCCCUGACAUCUACAAUAAAACCUCCCCCUUAACCAU